rnacentral:rRNA from 1 species
AGCGAACGCUGGCGGUAGGCCUAACACAUGCAAGUCGAACGGCAGCACAGUAUGAGCUCGCUGUUACGUGUGGCGAGUGGCGGACGGGUGAGGAAUACAUCGGAAUCUAAUUUUACGUGGGGGAUAACGUAGGGAAACUUACGCUACUACCGCAUACGACCUACGGGUGAAAGCAGAGGAUCUUCGGACCUUGCGCGUUUGAAUGAGCCGAUGUCGGAUUAGCUAGUUGGCGGGGUAAAGGUCCACCAAGGCGACGAUCCGUAGCUGGCCUGAGAGGAUGAUCAGCCACACUGGAACUGAGACACGGUCCAGACUCCUACGGGAGGCAGCAGUGGGGAAUAUUGGGCAAUGGGCGCAAGCCUGAUCCAGCCAUACCGCGUGAGUGAAGAAGGCCUUCGGGUUGUAAAACCCUGUUGUUGGGAAAGAAGAACAGCAGGUUAAUACGCCACUGUUCUGACGGUACCCAACGAGUAAGCACCGGCUAACUUCGUG